UACGUAGGGGGCAAGCGUUGUCCGGAUUUAUUGGGCGUAAAGAGCGUGUAGGCGGCCAGAUAAGUCCGCUGUGAAAACUCGAGGCUUAACCUCGAGAUGUCGGCGGAAACCAUCUGGCUAGAGUCCGGAAGAGGAGAAUGGAAUUCCCGGUGUAGCGGUGAAAUGCGCAGAUAUCGGGAAGAACACCCGUGGCGAAGGCGGUUCUCUGGGACGGUACUGACGCUGAGACGCGAAAGCGUGGGGAGCGAACAGG
rnacentral:rRNA from 1 species